UAACCACUCAAGCCCCGGCUUGGUAUUGGAGUUCGCGGUUCCGCGGCUCUUAAAAUUAGUGGCGGUGCCGUCUGGCUCUAAGCGUAGUAAUUCUCUCGCUACAGGGUUUAAAUGGUUACUUGCCAGAAUCCCCCCAUCUUUAUA
rnacentral:misc_RNA from 1 species